AUUGAACGCUGGCGGCAGGCCUAACACAUGCAAGUCGAGCGAGCGGGGGACGGGUGAGUAAUGUAUGGGGCUCUGCCCGAUAGAGGGGGAUAACUACUGGAAACGGUUGCUAAUACCGCCUACUAUCGGAUGAACCCAAAUGGGAUUAGCUAGUAGGUGGGGUAAAGGCUCACCUAGGCGACGAUCUGUACCUGGUCUGAGAGGAUGAUCAGUCACACUGGGACUGAGACACGGUCCAGACUCCUACGGGAGGCAGCAGUGGGGAAUAUUGCACAAUGGGCGCAAGCCUGAUGCAGCCAUGCCGCGUGUAUGAAGAAGGCCUUAGGGUUGUAAAGUACUUUCAGCGGGGAGGCGUUACCAGCAGAAGAAGCACCGGCUAACUCCGUGCCAGCCGCCGCGGUAAUUC
rnacentral:rRNA from 1 species